rnacentral:rRNA from 1 species
UACGUAGGGCGCAAGCGUUGUCCGGAAUUAUUGGGCGUAAAGAGCUCGUAGGCGGUUCGUCACGUCUGCUGUGAAAGCCCGAGGCUCAACCUCGGGUCUGCAGUGGGUACGGGCGAACUAGAGUGUGGUAGGGGAGACUGGAAUUCCUGGUGUAGCGGUGGAAUGCGCAGAUAUCAGGAGGAACACCAAUGGCGAAGGCAGGUCUCUGGGCCACAACUGACGCUGAGGAGCGAAAGCGUGGGGAGCGAAC